rnacentral:rRNA from 1 species
AUUGAACGCUGGCGGCAGGCCUAACACAUGCAAGUCGAGCGGAUGAAGGGAGCUUGCUCCUGGAUUCAGCGGCGGACGGGUGAGUAAUGCCUAGGAAUCUGCCUGGUAGUGGGGGAUAACGUCCGGAAACGGGCGCUAAUACCGCAUACGUCCUGAGGGAGAAAGUGGGGGAUCUUCGGACCUCACGCUAUCAGAUGAGCCUAGGUCGGAUUAGCUAGUUGGUUGGGUAAAGGCCUACCAAGGCGACGAUCCGUAACUGGUCUGAGAGGAUGAUCAGUCACACUGGAACUGAGACACGGUCCAGACUCCUACGGGAGGCAGCAGUGGGGAAUAUUGGACAAUGGGCGAAAGCCUGAUCCAGCCAUGCCGCGUGUGUGAAGAAGGUCUUCGGAUUGUAAAGCACUUUAAGUUGGGAGGAAGGGCAGUAAGUUAAUACCUUGCUGUUUUGACGUUACCAACAGAAUAAGCACCGGCUAACUUCGUGCCAGCAGCCGCGGUAAUACGAAGGGUGCAAGCGUUAAUCGGAAUUACUGGGCGUAAAGCGCGCGUAGGUGGUUCAGCAAGUUGGAUGUGAAAUCCCCGGGCUCAACCUGGGAACUGCAUCCAAAACUACUGAGCUAGAGUACGGUAGAGGGUGGUGGAAUUUCCUGUGUAGCGGUGAAAUGCGUAGAUAUAGGAAGGAACACCAGUGGCGAAGGCGACCACCUGGACUGAUACUGACACUGAGGUGCGAAAGCGUGGGGAGCAAACAGG